UAAACUGUAAGAGUAGUGAGGGGGGUGGAGAUGAGUGUUGUAUUGUAACCUGUGAGAGUUAGUGGGGAGGGGGAUAGAGAUGAUCAUUUAUGAUCAUGAUGAUUAUUUAUGAUUAUUUAUGAUCAUGAUGAUUAUGAUCAUCAUGAUCAUUAUGAUGAUGUAACCUAUAAGAGUAGUGGGGAGGGGGAGAUGUGAGUGAUAUUAUCCAAUGUUUGUAUAAUAGUUAUGUGUUAUCAAUGAACAGUAACUACCAGUAUCAUGGCAGUAUGACAGAUGGAAAUUACAGUAACAUGUUUUCUGUUUAUGGACAUGAAUUGCUAUAAAUGUUGUUAAUAAUGCCCUAAUUUGCAUGAUAAUAGCAACAAUAUUAUGAUAUUUAGCAAGAUGAUAUCUCAAGUAGGAAUGAGGGUAGUUUUGAAUAUUCAGCUCAAAAGGACUUUUGACUGAGGUUAUGCCAAUGACAUAUUACAAUAUCAUACUACUAAUGUGCUACUAAACACCUUGAUUGCAUAAUUAAUGUCCGAAUAUUACUAGUAUGUUCCCUUUGACAGACUUGGUACGUGGUAUAAAAUUUAUACCCAUAGUAUAGGGAGGUUAGCUAAACAUGUCAAUAUAAUGAAUUAUAUCAAAGUAUAUCCUGGAUACUAAUUAGGACCAAAUGAGCAUAAUCAUGAUAAUUUGGACUAUUUCUCUCAUAAUUAAUGCUAUGGGUGUCAUAUUGGAGGUGAAGGGAAGGUGCAUACAACAAAAUGUGAAUUAUGUUAGUGAGUACUUCAUGUGCAUAUUUGAUGCAGAAACUGCUAAUUUCUUCUGGUCAAUGGUAGGGAUUUCCUAUAAGACAUGUAGGUAGCUCUAGGAUAGGUAAAUACAAUGGCAUGUGGGUAAUGCUCAUGAUGACCUUAUUUCCAUUUUAAUGCAGAAACUUCAUUAAUGAUUCCUUUUGUGGUAAAUGGAAGGGACUUCAUGGUGGAGACAUAAGAUUAAGAAGCUUGACAAAUAGCCAAUUCCAAGAAGUGAUGUUGUGCUGUGGAUCUGAGGAGGGGGACAGCUGUUUUAGCCAGUCAUAUAUCAUUCGGCUUGAUGGGAAUUAGACAAACUUGGCCAAGCAACCACCUGUCAACAUAUCAAAACAGUCCCAUCCAUUCUUACAGAGUUUAGAACCCUUCCCAAGCUACCUACUGUCUUACCCAUUACCAGCAACAUUUUUGUAGUUUUCAGGGGUCUUUCACACCUCUCUAAACAACCAAAAUUGACAUAAAGCCCAGCAGCAGCCAUGUCUGAUGAAAGCUCCUUGGUCAAAAUGGGAAUGUCUGCAUGUUCUAGCACUAGCAACCAUUGAUUUUAUUCUAACAUCAUAAUCAGAAACAAUCCACAAAUUAAUCUUCACAACAAUACCACCAUGGAUAUAGAUAGAUGCAGUUUAACAGCAGUAAAAAUUUGUUAAUGACAAUAGACUAUUAUGUAUCUUUUUGGGACAUGUGAUUGAAUUCAGUAAAGCACAUUAAAACCUUGCACUGUGCAAAUAGCACCAGUGGGCAUUUUGACAUACUGAGAAACUUAUGAAAGCACUUGUUUGGUCUGUUUAGGAACAGAUAACUACAAAACAAACCAUGUUUGAUUCAUUGUUAGACAAACUCAGCACUGAUUGUUAAACAAUGGUUUCUUGAAAUUUGUUUAACUAACAUGGAGGUUAAAAACUGUGUAAAUACCUUUCAUGCGAACUAAGAUAUCCUGCAAAUGGGAUCAUUUAUUAUGUUUUUGGCCCAACCAACCAACUAGAUCCAACUAGUUUUGAUCAACUAAAUGACCUCAGCAUGCAUUUUUGCUCAGUCCCAUGAUAUAUAUGUAUAUAUGAGUGGUUCCCCACGACAAGUUUGUACAUCAUUUCACUCAACUGUAAUUAUAUAACUCUGGCUAUAAAUUGUUGUUGUUUGAUUACAAAUCUUGUUUCUAAUUUGGCAUUGAUAUUUAUACAUGACGUCAUGUUUGUUCAAUAAAAUUUGGCCAGUAUUUAACGAAUAUGACUUUGUUUAUUUCAUAUUGUUUAAUAGCAAGGGCUAGUUAUCAUAAACUUCAGAUGAAGGUAGGAAAGAAGAGAAAGUUGACCCUUCUGGAUUAAUACAAGGUGCAUUAUUGACUAUGCAUCAUCACAUGCCCCUUAUAUGCAACAUCACAGAUCAAAACACAAUAUCUUACUUAUCUAAUCUAGUGUGAUCUAGUGUGAGUAUAAAAUGUAACUAGCAAACUGUACUCAGCCCUGGGUAAACCCUGGAGACGUGAUUAAAAAUGACAAUGGUAGGACAAA